rnacentral:rRNA from 1 species
CACUUCUAAGGAAGGCAGCAGGCGCGCAAAUUACCCAAUCCUGACUCAGGGAGGUAGUGACAAGAAAUAACAAUAAACCGGCUUGUGCUGGUUUAAUUGGAAUGAGUACAAUUUAAACAUCUUAACGAGGAACAAUUGGAGGGCAAGUCUGGUGCCAGCAGCCGCGGUAAUUCCAGCUCCAAUAGCGUAUACUAAAGUUGUUGCAGUUAAAAAGCUCGUAGUUGGAUUUCUGUGGGGACGGAGCGGCCGGCCGCAACACGCGGUUCGAGCUAGCGCUUUCCCUACAUCCUGCCGCGAACCGUGCUACCAUUAAUUUGGUGGCGCCGGGGAUCGGCUCGAUUACUUUGAGAAAAAUAGAGUGUUCAAAGCAGGCCACAUGCCUUGAAUAAGUUAGCAUGGAAUAAUAACUAAGGACUUCGGUUCUAUUUUGUUGGUGUUCGGGACUGAAGUAAUGAUUGAUAGGGACAGUUGGGGCGGUCUGUAUUCCAAAGCGAGAGGUGAAAUUCUUAGACCUUCGGAAGACAAACAGCUGCGAAAGCGUUCCGCAAGGAUGUUCCCUUUGAUCAAGAACGAAAGUUGGGGGAUCGAAGACGAUCAGAUACCGUCGUAGUCUCAACUAUAAACUAUACCAGCUAGGGAUCGGCCAACGUUAUUUCAUACCGACUUGGUCGGCACCUUAUGAGAAAUCAAAGCAUCUGGGUUCCGGGGGGAGUAUGGUCGCAAGGCUGAAACUUAAAGGAAUUGACGGAAGGGCACCACCAGCCGUGGAGCCUGUGGCUUAAUUUGACUCAACACGGGAAAACUUACCAGGUCCAGACAUAGUAAGGAUUGACAGAUUGAUAGCUCUUUCUUGAUUCUGUGGGUGGUGGUGCAUGGCCGUUCUUAGUUGGUGGAGUGAUUUGUCUGGUUAAUUCCGUUAACGAACGAGACCCCAGCCUGCUAAAUAGCGCGCGUGAGCUUUGCUCGCGGCGAGCUUCUUAGAGGGACUAUGAUGCGCGAUAGCACAUGGAAGUUUGGGGCAAUAACAGGUCUGUGAUGCCCUUAGAUGUUCUGGGCCGCACACGGGCUACACUGGCGCCUGCUACGAGCAUAUCAGCUGGCCCGAGAGGGUCUAGGCUAAUCUUUUGAACCGGCGCCGUGCUUGGGAUUGACCUUUGCAAUUGUUGGUCAUGCAACGAGGAAUGCCUUGUAAACGCGAGUCAUCAGCUCGCAUUGAAUACGUCCCUGCCCUUUGUACACACCGCCCGUCGCUCCUACCGAUGAAUGUUCCGAUGAAAUUUUCGGAGAGCACCUGUGAACUUGGCUCUGCCUUGCGAACGGGAGGCUCAAAGUCACUUAAAUCUGAACAUUUCGA